CCGGGGACGACGCUCACGCACGCACUGCUGCUGCUGCUGCCGCCGGCAGAUGUCCGCGACGGGCCCGGCAUUGGCCAGCUAGACCUGCAGAGCAGAACGGACACGUGUUGCCUUCAGGCGCUGCAGGCCAGAUGCAGCAAGCAGAAUCUGGCUCCAAAGGCCGGCCGCUCACUGAGCAGGCUGACAUACAAGCGGAGGCAGCAAGACACACAGGCCGAGACACGAAGCAUCAGCAUCAUCCUAAUCCCUCUUGACCGCGUCCUUCAGGCUGGUGGAGAAGGCUGCAGCAGACGUGUCUAAAUGGGACAUCCCAGUGUCUCCUCUUGGCCAAUAAUAUGCAAGAAUAAGGGAGCGAAACCUUAAAAAAUAAAAUAAAAAUAAAACGUUCCAGAAAUGUAUGUGAUGUUUGUUUGAGAUUAAGGGACAUCGCUUCAGUCUGUAAGCGAUAAUAAAAAUGUACAAUUUAAGCA